rnacentral:rRNA from 1 species
ACGAACGCUGGCGGCGUGCCUAAUACAUGCAAGUCGAACGGCUUUUCUAUGGAAGCUUGCUUCCACUGAGAAGAUAGUGGCGAACGGGUGAGUAACACGUGGGUAACCUGCCCAUAAGAAGGGGAUAACAUCCGGAAACGGGUGCUAAUACCGCAUAGUUUUCUUGAUCGCAUGAUUGAGAAAGGAAAGACGGCCUUUGUGCUGUCGCUUAUGGAUGGACCCGCGGCGUAUUAGUUAGUUGGUGAGGUAACGGCUCACCAAGACGAUGAUACGUAGCCGACCUGAGAGGGUGAUCGGCCACAUUGGGACUGAGACACGGCCCAAACUCCUACGGGAGGCAGCAGUAGGGAAUCUUCCGCAAUGGACGAAAGUCUGACGGAGCAACGCCGCGUGAGUGAAGAAAGGUUUUCGGAUCGUAAAACUCUGUUGUCAGAGAAGAACAAGUUGGAGAGUAACUGCUCCAGCCUUGACGGUAUCUGACCAGAAAGCCACGGCUAACUACGUGCCAGCAGCCGC